rnacentral:rRNA from 1 species
AAUUUUCCACAAUGGGCGCAAGCCUGAUGGAGCAACGCCGCGUGGGGGAUGACGCUCUUCGGAUUGUAAACCCCUUUUCGGGAGGACGACGGCAAUGACGGUACUCCCGGAAGCAGGACCGGCUAACUACGUGCCAGCAGCCGCGGUAAUACGUAGGGUGCAAGCGUUAAUAGGAAUUACUGGGCGUAAAGCGUGCGCAGGCGGUUCGGCAAGAAGGAUGUGAAAUCCCAGGGCUUAACCUUGGAACUGCAUUCUUAACUGCCGGGCUAGAGUAUGUCAGAGGGGGGUAGAAUUCCGCGUGUAGCAGUGAAAUGCGUAGAGAUGCGGAGGAAUACCGAUGGCGAAGGCAGCCCCCUGGGAUAAUACUGACGCUCAUGCACGAAAGCGUGGGGAGCAAA